UUCAUUCUCAGCUCCGCCACGUCUUAUCUGAGCACGAUGCUUUAGAAAGGAUGAGAGAAGAUGCGGAAGAGAAGGCAAUCGUCCUACAUUUGAUGGCCCCACCUUUAGGCUGUCUUCAAAGUCCAAUAGGGUAUUAACAUCACUUAGAACUUUGGCACAUAUGCACAGCAACAAUAACUGAGACUUCCACACCUGCCCGUUAGGGAGAAUCUUCUCUCCAGCAUUAUUG
rnacentral:misc_RNA from 1 species